rnacentral:rRNA from 1 species
UGGUGGAGUGAUUUGUCUGGUUGAUUCCGUUAACGAACGAGACCUCGACCUGCUCACUAGUCUGACCCAUUCCUCUGGAAUGGUUGUUCAGUACUUCUUAGAGGGACUAUCGGUGCGUAGCCGAUGGAAGUUCGAGGCAAUAACA